GAAUUUGUUUUUCAUGUGAAUCCGUAAUCUGUGAUAAAAAUCGGACUCCGAUAAUUCCUCAAACAAAAGAGUUAUGGAUCCUAAAAACAACGCUCAUUCGUUUUUAAAGUUGAUUGAUGACUAUGAUCCUAUAUUUUUGGAAAUACCGUAUGAUUUUGCAAGCUUAUUGUGGGGAGGAAAAGUUCCAUAUGGUUAAU